UAUCUCCAUCUCAAUUCUUUUCCAUUUUUCUUUUUCUUCUUUCCUAAAACCUCUCUUCUAUGUGCCAACACUACUUUUGCAUCUAUUAUCCUUCUCGUGUCUUCUCUCUCUCUCUCUUUGCAGUGCAAACGUGGUGCGGGAUCCCUUUUCAAACCCCGUUUUUGAUCCGACUCCGAUCCCAUUUGAAGAAAUAACUUGAUUACCUUGCUUUUCUCCCUCUCCUGGAGAUGCAUAAAAGGAAAAGCUUUAGUUUCCCCUUUUGGUCACGGGACACACCGUUUACGGCAUGCCUAGAUUGCAAGAAUGGAUGAGGAACUAAAGGCACAUUGAUUCACAAAUUGUAUCCAAGUUGAAGAGCAUGCUAGAUUAGCAUAACACAUGCAAAAUCCUUUCGAAUGGCUAGAGAUAGAUUUAAAGAUGGAUUUGUGCAUGAUCUUAAAUUGAAGUUGAUCUCGGAUAGAAUUAAGGAUGAUAGAAUAUAUAGCAUGUCUCAAGUUUAUGAAGUAGUUGCACUUAUUGAAGGUGACGUGGACAGAGUAUAAAAAAGAUACAUAAUCUUGGAAUCACAAAAUGGACAACUCCAAAGAAUAGAUGAUUUUCAUGCAAGUUAUUUGGGACUUUAGUAUCUACUUUUAUUUUCGUAUGUUAAGGAUGGGUAUAGACAUGAUGUCCUAAAUUGAGCUACACAUACUUCAGAAAUUUGCAAAAGAGACCACCUUACUAUCACAAAAUAACUUUAUUUUAGGAUACAGUCAAGACGAAACGAAGCUCAAACCAUAUUCUGCUCAAGAAAACAUGUUCAUUAGUUUGUAAUUGAUGGUUAUACUAUGCUAGAGUCUAAAAGACUUUAUUUUAUUAGGAUCAAUCAAUUAAAGUUACAGGUUGACAAAUACUGCAACCUGCAUCAAUCAACUAACAAUGCCCAAAGCCAAGGUUCAAACAGUGGAAAAAGAGUCAGAUUACCUUCCACACUUGUUUGAUGUUGUAGAUAUAUGAAUCAAUUGUACUUUGAUGGGAUGGUGAUUUGUGAUAGUGUUGGCUUUCUUGAUUUGUUUGUGACAUUUAUUUGUGACAUUUACAUGUAAGUCACAAACAAAAGUGUUGGCUUUCUUGAGUUGAUCCAUUUGAAAGUUGUUGAUCA